rnacentral:rRNA from 1 species
UACGUAGGGUGCGAGCGUUGUCCGGAAUUAUUGGGCGUAAAGGGCUCGUAGGCGGUUUGUCGCGUCGGGAGUGAAAUCCACUGGCUUAACUGGUGGCUUGCUUUCGAUACGGGCAGACUGGAGGUAUGCAGGGGAGACUGGAAUUCCUGGUGUAGCGGUGAAAUGCGCAGAUAUCAGGAGGAACACCGGUGGCGAAGGCGGGUCUCUGGGCAGUAACUGACGCUGAGGCGCGAAAGCCAGGGGAGCAAACGGG